rnacentral:lncRNA from 1 species
AAAAAAAAAAAAAAAAAAAAAAAAGAGUCUGGAGACACUUCAAUAGAAAUUUUUCCAAAAUCUCAUUUUACACCCUUUUAUAUCCCCCGUAGUGAAAUUUCACGCAAUUAAAAAAAAAAAUUUCGAUAUAAAAAAAAAGUGUUUCGAGUUUGUAAGUUUGGCAUUUUCUUCCAUUCAUCUUCUAAGCCACACUUAGCCUAAAACCUUUCUUGUUUCUUUUAGCCUACCCGUAACCUAACAUCAAUCCCUUGUAAAGCC